rnacentral:rRNA from 1 species
GACGAACGCUGGCGGCGUGCUUAACACAUGCAAGUCGAGCGGUAAGGCCCUUUCGGGGGUACACGAGCGGCGAACGGGUGAGUAACACGUGGGUGACCUGCCCUCAGCUCUGGGAUAAGCCUGGGAAACUGGGUCUAAUACCGGAUAUGACCCCACUGACGCAUGUCGUGGGGUGGAAAGCCUUGUGCGGCUGAGGAUGGGCCCGCGGCCUAUCAGCUUGUUGGUGGGGUGAUGGCCUACCAAGGCGACGACGGGUAGCCGGCCUGAGAGGGCGACCGGCCACACUGGGACUGAGACACGGCCCAGACUCCUACGGGAGGCAGCAGUGGGGAAUCUUGCGCAAUGGGCGAAAGCCUGACGCAGCGACGCCGCGUGAGGGAUGACGGCCUGGUGU